rnacentral:rRNA from 1 species
AGAACGAACGCUGGCGGCAGGCCUAACACAUGCAAGUCGAGCGCCCAGCAAUGGGAGCGGCGGACGGGUGAGUAACACGUGGGAAUAUGCCUUUCGGUUCGGCACAACUCAGGGAAACUUGAGCUAAUUCCGGAUACGCCCUUACGGGGAAAGAUUUAUCGCCGAAAGAUUAGCCCGCGUUGGAUUAGCUAGUUGGUGAGGUAACGGCCCACCAAGGCGACGAUCCCAUAGCUGGUUUGAGAGGAUGAUCAGCCACACUGGGACUGAGACACGGCCCAGACUCCUACGGGAGGCAGCAGUGGGGAAUAUUGGACAAUGGGCGCAAGCCUGAUCCAGCAAUGCCGCGUGAGUGAUGAAGGCCUUAGGGUUGUAAAGCUCGUUUUACCCGGGAAGAUAAUGACUGUACCGGGAGAAUAAGCCCCGGCUAACUCCAUGCCAGCAGCCGC